GGAAUUUUGCGCAAUGGGCUAACGCCUGACGCAGCAACGCCGCGUGGGGGAAGACGGCCUUCGGGUUGUAAACCCCUUUCAGGAGGGACGAAGGCUCACCGGUGAAUAGCCGUGUGAGUUGACGGUACCUCCACAAGAAGCUCCGGCUAACUACGUGCCAGCAGCCGCGGUAAUACGUAGGGAGCAAGCGUUGUCCGGAAUCAUUGGGCGUAAAGCGCGCGUAGGUGGCCUCAUAAGUCCGUUGUGAAAGUCAAAGGCUCAACCUUUGAAAGCCGAUGGAUACUGUGAGGCUAGAGUACGGAAGAGGCGAGUGGAAUUCCUGGUGUAGCGGUGGAAUGCGCAGAUAUCAGGAGGAACACCAAUAGCGAAGGCAGCUCGCUGGGACGUUACUGACACUGAGGCGCGAAAGCGUGGGGAGCGAAC
rnacentral:rRNA from 1 species